rnacentral:rRNA from 1 species
AGCGAACGCUGGCGGCAGGCUUAACACAUGCAAGUCGAGCGGGCACUUUCGGGUGUCAGCGGCGGACGGGUGAGUAACGCGUGGGAACGUGCCCUCUGGUUCGGAAUAACUCAGGGAAACUUGAGCUAAUAUCGGAUACGCCCUUUUGGGGAAAGGCUUGCUGCCGGAGGAUCGGCCCGCGUCUGAUUAGCUAGUUGGUGAGGUAACGGCUCACCAAGGCGACGAUCAGUAGCUGGUCUGAGAGGAUGAUCAGCCACACUGGGACUGAGACACGGCCCAGACUCCUACGGGAGGCAGCAGUGGGGAAUAUUGGACAAUGGGCGCAAGCCUGAUCCAGCCAUGCCGCGUGAGUGAUGAAGGCCUUAGGGUUGUAAAGCUCUUUUAUCCGGGACGAUAAUGACGGUACCGGAGGAAUAAGCCCCGGCUAACUUCGUG